GAUAGGGGAAACAUGGGAGCAGCUCUGGAAGAGCUGGGCGGAAGGCCUCGCAGUGUAGGAAGUGUUGGUCAAAUAAAAGUGGAGGAUGUUUAUGGUGUGAAAUCGGGAAGUGUUUUCAGGAAGCUGGUAGGAAAAUUCAGCUGAGAUAGGAGAAGGGAAAACAAGUAUCCAGAGUGGGAGAGGAGUACCUUGUUUAGCUGUAUUUAUAGACAACUGGACCAUCCUCAAACCUGAUGUUCAGUCAGGAGCUGCCACAGAUCUCCCUGCCUGCCUCGUCCCUGCGAUUCAUGCUCAGGAAAUGAUGCUAUGGUGUGUGCAGGGCUAUUCUGGGCCUGGAGGCUGUUUCAAGAAGCGUCAGCGAGGCCAAGCUCAUCAGUGCUGUCACAGAUGGACUUUGUGGGGGUGAACUUGGCUCAUGGGUUUAAGAUGUUUAGGCCAUCCAACAGCAAAGAGCAGCGGAGGAAAACGUGUUUUCCAGAUCUGCCGCUGAAGGUCUCAAUACAUUGCAUGAGGCAUCUCUGUUUAAUGUAGCUUAAAUGAAAGAUCCAUUUCUUCUUUUAGCAAGGCUUGUAAGACCCCUGAGGAUGGUGAAUGGUAUCACUUAAAACUGAAAGUAGAGCACUGACUUGCAAGUUGCUUUGCAUAGAGGGGUUGGCAUUAGAAGUUCUCAGGGUUUUUUCUCUAUCUCACCCCACACUUCUGGUGUGGCACAGGUUAGUAAAACUAGUCUUGUUAAACACCAACAAAUUCCUGGAAUGCAAUUCCUAGGCCGAGCUCAAAGGCUCCAAAUGAUUGAAUACCCAGUGCAAAUAAAAGGAAAUAAUCCUUCAUGUACACUGUGGUCACUCUAAAACUCACUGUUCCGCGAGAUCAUCUACAUCAAAUGUCCUGGCUGCUGUAACCCUGUUUCUUAAGGAAUGUUUUAAUUUCACACUCAUCCAUAGCCUCUUUAGGUUAGCCAGGCAGUGCAAGAAGUGCCCUUAUUCACAUUUCAAGGCAUUGUGGGGCUCAUGGGGAGGAAUUAGUCCUUGCCUAUGAGCAAUAAUGACUGAAUGUGGGCAGUGCUGGAGGGGAAGGAAUCACUUUCUUCAUCACUGCAUUUCACCCACAAUGAGGCAAAGAUGCUUAACAGGACAGAUAUAAGAUCUGAUUGCAAGCAAGGCUGCUAUUUCCAUAUAUUUGAUUUAACUUUUAAGUCAAAGUAAAUUGUUUUUCAAAUGCAGAUAACGCAGCAAACGGCUCCAAAACUAAAACAUGAAACAGCAAUCUAUCAGGCAUGUCUGUCAGCAAAACAGACGCCAUCCCAUAAACCUGCCAAAACAGCCCUUCGCUUCAAACAAUCAAAACUGGAAGGAAUGAAAAGGCUCAGCUUUAAAAACCUCUCUUUGGAUGUUUAAGGAAAAAAAACCCAACCCAGCUCUCAAUUGGUGUAAUUUGGAGUAGGUUAAUGUAAAAAUGAAAGCCAUUCCAUAAAUCUUUUAGUGGAGAUCAAAAGCAAUGAGUGCAGGAAACCAGAAAAUUGAUGAUACGACAUUUUCCGACACUCUGUAGCAUUCAUAUUAUUCAGAGAACUGCCAACUGCAAUUGUUCAAAUAGUCUUUUAACUGAUGUUGUUGCUUGAACUCAUAAGCCAGCCACUGAUCUCCCCAGGGGAAAGCAUAUGGGAAGACAGUAGCUCAAUUAAGAGUAAUACGGUGUGUGGCUCUUAAUCCUUGGUCGAGCCCUUGUGCCAGAAGGCUCUACAGUAUGGGCUUAAAUUUAAGCCUGUGCUCAAAUUUUAUUUUUUAUGUGCAUUUCUUGAGUCGAAUGCCCCAAAUACUCUUGAAUCCCUGUUUGGAAGUGGGCUGCUCAGACUGCAGCUGGCCGUGCUCAGAGGUGGCACCUACUUUCUCCUGGAUGCAUUGGGCUCUGCAAGCAAAUCUGGGUGCUUUCCAUCAUUGAUAAAUCUUGGUUUCUCAUUGCAAAACCCGAUUUGAAACCUGUCUCCCUCUAGUGUUGCAAACACAAUAAGAAGGAGGUAAACAGGGUGUCAGAGAUUUAAUGUCAAAGGCGCUCUCCUAGUUCAGUGCGCAGAAACCAGAUGUCAGCGAGCUCUCCCCAUAGCUGUGCACCUCCACUGGUGACUAGAGGACAGGGUUUGGAGGGAUUUUGGAUGGGGAGGGUCGUGCUGCGAGCUGAGCUGCUGCUGGCUGACGAACCAGGCACAUUUUGGCUGGGUUGUGUUGUAUCUUGUGCUCCACUGCAGGAAUAGUUUCUCCGUUGCGUGCCGGCGUCUGUGCUGACUGCGAGUCUGGCAUCCUCUUGCCUGUCCUGAAAAUUAGUGACAUCUGAAGACAAUGAGGGCUGAAAACAACAUUAUGAAAAGCUCAUUUGCAUGGAAAGAAACACACGGGAACUGGAGCCUUCCCGGGUGGAUCACACAGGUUGGGUUCUGUGUGCCCUGUGACACGGCCGGUGAGAAGUGGUGACACGGCAUCACUGUCCGCUGCUUGGGCUCCUAUAGCUGAUCUCAGCAGAUGGGAACAGCGUGUGGAGCAGAGCUGAAAAUGUGCUUAUUUAGCACUUUUCCUUCCCAUUUGAUGGGGCAGUGGUUGCCUGCACCUUGACUGUGGGCUCACAAUGGACAAGAUGUGCCAGCCUUGGGUUGUUUUGACCAUGGCAUUUUACCACUCGUUAAUCCUUUUGAUUUUAGCCUCCUUGAAGCCCAGAGUUCUGAUAUUUUUCAGUGUUAAACACUAAAAUCAGACAUGAAAACACCUCAACCAGUGCAGAAGUUUAAAACCCUUAUUCACACACCCUGGAAAGGCUUUGACUUGAUAUGCUGACAAGGACUGACUUUAUAAUGUUUAUCUUCUGGCAAUUAAUCUCCUUUUGCUGUUGAUAGCAGCUCACGUUUUCCUGGUACCAGGUUCCAUUUCCAACCUCAGCAAAUGAAGUGGGCUGUCGUGUUUCCCUGCCACGCUGCGGCAUGCUCUGGGGCAGCCUGUGAUUUUGAUGAAAACACUGUUGAUGAAACUGGGUUUCCAUUGGCACCAGGACUUAAACACUCAGCAAAUAAAGCAGCAUGGGAGCCGUAAUCAGCAUGUGAAGAACAGCCCCCGGCACAGCCAGAUCCCCUGAAGACUGCUGAAUAGUUACAUUUCUGUAAUGCUUCCUCCUAUGACGUGGUGUGACAGCAGAUAUUUCCUCCCUCAAGAUGAAUUUGUCAUUAAGAAAGCCAGGAGAGGUGACAGUGGCAGAAGCAGGGCUUGUAAUCACCUUCAGUAGCAAGAUAUUUUGCAGGAACACAAACAUCUAAAGGCAAAUAUUUUGCUUUAUUCCCCAAUAUUCAUUUCUGGUCCAUUGGAAGAGCUGCAUAGCUUACUAAUGAGGGAAUUGGGAACCAUGAGCUGUAAUCCUUGGCUGAAUGAAGCAAUGUGCUCGUUACAGCUGUCAAUCAUCUCCCUCCUGCCUCCUAUUUCUGAUCUGUAAAUUGAGGUUAAUACCCUCUAUACACCAAAGGUGCAGGGAGGAUUAAUUAGACAGCAUCUGUAGCACUGCAGUCUUCUCUUUGGGCAAUGGUUGGAGCUCCUGAAGACACACAAAUGUCUCAUUGGAAAGCUGUUUUCUAUUGCAAACCUGAACUGGGGUGCUUCAGUUCUGAAUCACUGAGAUAUUCUUGUUUUCAUCUGAAACUUACCAGUAUGAAACAAAUGAUACUGACACAAGGGGAACGCGAAGAAAAACUGACCUUUGAAAGGUGUGUAGAGAUUUACCUGUGAAGGGGAUCAGGGAGAUUUUUCUUAGUGAAGGAAAAAUCCUAACUCCAGCAUCCCAAAUACUUGGCAGCAGCGUAAUCAUGACUUUAAUAGAGCGCUUGGUUUUCCUGUUACAAUAAAUGAGGUCUGCUCUCUGUUAAAAACAAAGCAAAGGGGAAGCAAACAACCCGCAACCCCAGCCCUUGUAGGUGUCCAGGGAAAUGGCUUCACUAUUGGGCAUAUCUCAAAACCUAUCCAGGAACUGUGUGUUCUCCAGCGGAUUAAAUUCACCCACCAGUCACUUGUUGGGCUACAUUAGCAAACAAAACAAAGCAGCUGACACUCUGUGCUAUACUGCACAGCAAAAUAACACCACUCCCAAUGGCUUUUCCAAUUCCAGGCAUGGAGCAGGAGACUUAACUACUUACUGACUCGGCUCUGCUCACCCAGAAAGGACCCAACCUGAUGGAUGGCUCCUGACCUCUCCCCUACGCAUGGCCACCAGCCAGACUGCCACUUGGGUGUCUUCUGCAUGGGGAGAUACAAACCUCCCAUCUGGCAAGAGUCCAGCCCUAUUUUUGUUCCAUACCAUGGUAAGAAAUGCUACACUUCCCUGAAUGGAUGACCUCGAAGUCACACGUGGGUUAAAUAGAAGCAUAAGUUAUCUGGACUUGCAGCCAUGAAGCCAUUCUCUGGGAGGAAAGGGUAAAUAAACAAAUCAUUUAUUAGCAAGUAAAA